rnacentral:rRNA from 1 species
UACAGAGGGGGCAAGCGUUGUUCGGAAUUACUGGGCGUAAAGGGCGCGUAGGCGGCCUGCUAAGUCGAACGUGAAAUCCCCGGGCUCAACCCGGGAACUGCGUCCGAUACUGGCAGGCUUGAAUCCGGGAGAGGGAUGCGGAAUUCCAGGUGUAGCGGUGAAAUGCGUAGAUAUCUGGAGGAACACCGGUGGCGAAGGCGGCUAUCUGGACAGAAACUGACGCUGAGGCGCGAAAGCUAGGGGAGCAAACAGG